UCACCACAAAGACCAACCAUGGGAUCA
rnacentral:piRNA from 1 species